GCCAGUGUGGUGUGGUGGUUUGAGUGUUGGACUACGAUUCUGGAGAUCAGGGUUCUAAUCCCUGCUUGGCCA
rnacentral:tRNA from 1 species